rnacentral:rRNA from 1 species
AUUGAACGCUGGCGGCAUGCUUUACACAUGCAAGUCGAACGGUAACAGGCCGCAAGGUGCUGACGAGUGGCGAACGGGUGAGUAAUGCAUCGGAACGUGCCCAGUCGUGGGGGAUAACGCAGCGAAAGCUGUGCUAAUACCGCAUACGAUCUAUGGAUGAAAGCGGGGGACCGUAAGGCCUCGCGCGAUUGGAGCGGCCGAUGUCAGAUUAGGUAGUUGGUGGGGUAAAGGCCCACCAAGCCAACGAUCUGUAGCUGGUCUGAGAGGACGACAAGCCACACUGGGACUGUGACACGGCCCAGACUACUACGGGAGGCAGCAGUGGGGAAUUUUGGACAAUGGUCGCAGGCCUGAUUCAGCAAUGCCGCGUGCAGGAAGAAGGCCUUCGGGUUGUAAACUGCUUUUGUACGGAACGAAACGGUCUGGGUUAAUACCUCGGGCUCAUGACGGUACCGUAAGAAUAAGCACCGGCUAACUACGUGCCAGCCGCCGCGGUAAUAC